UAAUAUGAAACAAAUAAAUUGUAUUUAGUUUCGACCUAACAUUUUGGUAUUAAAUUACCCUUAUUAA
rnacentral:tRNA from 1 species